rnacentral:rRNA from 1 species
AUGAUUCGCGCGGUCCUUCAGCUCGCAGUCUCUCGCGCCUGGCCGGUACAUCAGAUGGAUGUGUCGAAUGCGUUCUUGCAUGGCCAUCUCUCGGAGCAGGUCUUCUGUCAGCAGCCUACUGGCUUCGUCGACGCGGCUCGUCCUGACUACGUGUGCUUGCUCUCCUGCUCUUUAUACGGGUUGAAGCAGGCCCCUCGCACUUGGUACCAGCAGAUCGCCGGCUUCCUGCAGCAGCUUGGGUUCCGAGCUACUCACUCCGACGCCUCGUUGUUUGUCUACCACCAGGCCCCAGCGACCUCUUACCUGCUCCUCUAUGUCGACGACAUCAUCCUGACGGCUUCCUCGCCGGAGCUUCUUCGCCAGCAUACUGCUCGCCUUAGUGCCGAGUUUGCCAUUAAGACCCUCGGGCCGUUGCACUACUUCCUCGGCAUUGAGGUGGUACGAUGUGCCGACGAGUUCUUUCUUCACCAGCAGCAGUAUGCGCAGGACCUUCUUUAG